rnacentral:rRNA from 1 species
AGCAGCCGCGGUAAUUCCAGCUCCAAUAGCGUAUAUUAAAGUUGUUGCAGUUAAAAAGCUCGUAGUUGAAUUUCGGGGUCAAUAAGUUGGUCAUGCCAAUGGUAUGCACUGGCUUUAUUGAUUCCUACCUCUUGACGAACUGUGAUGCCAUUAAUUUGGUGUUGCAAGGAAUCAGGACUGUUACCUUGAAAAAUUAGAGUGUUUAAAGCAAGCUUACGCUUGAAUACAUUAGCAUGGAAUAAUGAAAUAGGACGUUUGAUCCUAUUUUGUUGGUUUCUAGGAUCGACGUAAUGAUUAAUAGGGAUAGUUGGGGGCAUUAGUAUUCAAUUGUCAGAGGUGAAAUUCUUGGAUUUAUUGAAGACUAACUACUGCGAAAGCAUUUGCCAAGGAUGUUUUCAUUAAUCAAGAACGAAAGUUAGGGGAUCGAAGACGAUCAGAUACCGUCGUAGU